GCGCCUCUGCGCAGCGCACUGCCCCGGAUCUGUGCUCCCGCGCAUCACCUCCACGUCGGCUUUGGGCGCCUGCGCACUGCGCCUACCCUGCCGGGCGCGGGAACGCCUCUGAACUGGAAGUUUAAAAAUGGUUAAAACGGGGCCGGGCGGAGUGGCUCUCGCCUGUAAUCCCAGCAAGUUGGGAGGCCGAGGCGGGCGGAUCGCUUGAGGUCGGGAGUUCGAGACUAGCCUGUCCAACAUGGUGAAACCCGGUCUCUACUCAAAUACAAAAAUUAGCCGGGUGUGGUGGUGCACACCUGUAAUUCCAGCUACUCAGGAGGCUGAAGCAGGAGAAUCACUUGAGCCGGGAGGCAGAGGUUGCAGUGAGCCGAGAUCGCGCCACUGCACUCCCGCCUGGGCGACAGAGCGAGACUGUCUCAAAAAUAAGAAGUUAAAAUGGGCCAGGCGCGCGCGCGCCCCUGUAGCCCCAACGCUUUGAGGCUGAGGCGGGAGGAUCUCGAACCCAGGACUUCGCGCCACUGCACUCCAACCUGAACGAGUGAGCGGACCCUGUCUCAUAAAAAAAGAAAAAAGAAAACACACAAGAUGCGCCUAGUUAACACCGCCAAUUGGUCACUGCUAGUCGCGAUUCCAUAUCGGGAGCUUAACAAGGUAAUGACCUUAAUGAUUUGUGGAAUUUCUGAGUAUUACCCAGUAAACUUCUGGAUGAACCAGCAGCUACCCAGACACCCUCAGAGCACUGGUCCUAUCCCUGCCGUGUUAAACUGAAUGUGCACCCUAACUCCCAUGUGAAAUCCUCACCCCAAGGCGUUGGUGCUUCGGAGGUGACUAGGUCAUGAGGACAGAGCCUUCAUAAAAGGGACCCCAAGAGCUUUGUGCAGCUUUCUACUGUGUGAAGGCAGCGGGAAGGAAGUCUGCAGUCUGGAAGAAACCCCUUACCAGAACCUCAGCGUGCUGGGCACCCUGAUUUUGGAGGUUGUGACGUACCCCUGCUUCCCCUUUCCACUUUCAUUCCCAGUGCUGACUGAGAAACAGAGUCCCUUGGCCACUCUGUGACUUCGCCAACUGUAUAAUUUCCUCUGCAGACUUGAACCCGAGCCAUAGCCAUGAACGUUCCCAGGCACAGAUGACAGUAACUAGGUUGUUGCUCAAAACACAGAAAGAAACUGGACUCAGCCUGAGCCAGAUUCCUCAAACCCUCAUAUAAAUUCCAUUCACCAACCCCCUCCCCCACGGACAUACCUAGAGAGAACUUCAUUUCUCUCACUGCCUAUUGCAAGAACUGCUGCAGCCCACUCUGUACAAAAGCCCCACGAAUAAAUGCUCUGGGCGAAUCACCCUGGCAUGCUCAAUCUGUAGAAUCCUAACCAGCCCCAUCUCAGGAUGGUGUGGGGCACUCCCUUGUGGGAACUCUACUGCCACCACUUUUGGGGCAAUUCCAGCCACAGGUUGAACUGGAUGAAAUACAGGUCUACUGUCCUGUGGGAAAUUUCUGUUUCUUAGUGACCCAGUCCAUGGGUCAGGCUGUUAGAGCAGGCUGGCAGACAGCCACACGUCUGGCUCAUCUAUCUACUUAGCAAGUACUGGCUGCCAUCUCCCUCAUGAGGCACUGCAUGAGCUUUCAUCAUGGAGCAGGUGCAUGGCGAGGGCAGAGCAGCAGGCCACAGCCAGGCA
rnacentral:lncRNA from 10 species